rnacentral:lncRNA from 1 species
AUUUCUUUGGGCCGCUCCCACGGCAUAUGGAGGUUCCCAGGCUAGGGGUCGAAUCAAAGCUGCAGCCACCGGCCUACGCCAGAGCCACAGCAACGCAGGAUCCGAGCCGCAUCUGCAACUUACACCACAGCUCACGGCAACGCCGGAUGGUUAACCCACUGAGCAACGGCAGGAACCAAACCCGCAACCUCAUGGUUCCUAGUUGGAUUCGUUAACCACUGCGCCAUGACAGGAACUCCAGCAUAAUUCUUUAAAUAUCUUCCUUGACUCUCUCUGAAUUGAGGGCAGGGAUACAAGCUGAAACCUUUUACAAAACAAGCUUCAUAUUCAGGGAAAAGGAAAAUUCAAUUUCCCAAGAUAGAUUCAACGAAGAAUCUACCCACAAUGCAGGUACCUUGACUACUAAGGAUGGUAACAUGGGAAUGAGAGAAAAGCUUAAAAUAAAAACAAAACAAAACCAAAAGACUACCAAGUGGAAACAAUGUAUUUCCCGUAGUCAUUCCAGUACCUCUGACCUCUUUCUACAAACAUGUGUACAAUAGCAUAAGGACCACAGCAGCCUGGCAGAGAAGAUUGACCUUGCUAUGCCCAGUACUCAUUACUGAAGCUUAGGGUUCCCUUUCUCUUGUCAGGUUCUGUGUGAAAAAGUGUCACCACUUCCAAGAGCUUCAACCAUUGAGGGUCACCAGUAAGGCUGUUCAUAAUCCAGACUGAGGCAAAAAGACAUAUAAGGGAUCAAGAAGAGGUCGCAAAGGAAGAGUGAGAGACUAAGCAGCAAAAAAAAGGAUAAAUAUUCCCACCACCCAUCCUGAUGUACAAACUUUCCCAUCAUUUGCAUCCACAGACCCUAGGCAUAUGGAAGUUCCCAGGCUAGGGGUCCAAUUGGAGCUGCAGCUGCCAACCUAUGCCACAGCCACAGCAAUGCCAGAUCGAGCCACAUCCGUGACCGACACCACAACUCACAGCAACGCGAAGUCCUAAACCCACUGAGCAAGGCCAGGGAUCAAACCCGCAUCCUCAUGGAUACUAGUCGAGUUUGUAACCCACUGAGCCACAACGGGAACUCCCCACAGCCCCUAGACUCUUGAAGGUGGAUUUCUCUCAAAAGCAAACAGCUGUUUUUACCAAAGCUACAUGUAGGUUAUUUCUACAAGAUAAUAUAUUAUCUUAUAUAAUAUAUUGAAGACUUCCUCUCUCCCUGUAUUUCUGGUUCUUUCCCUCUUUUUUAUUUUAUUGGCCACACUGUCAAACUGAGUAAUCAUUUCUCCAGCUUCAACCACAUUUUCGGCUGUGUCUAUCCAUACACACUUAAAGCUGUUCUUAAGGGGAGUUAUAUUUUCCUGUGAAAAGAGAUGAAAUAUAGCCUGUCCUGAGAAUCAGUGAGAACCAACUGGAAUAUUUUCAGGAAGAACCAAAUAAAAUCCAAAGAUAUACGUCUGAGAAGCAAAAGAAGUUUAAUGUGGCAUUUUUAUUUACUAACUUUAAAGUCUGAAAAUUGCCCUUGUAUGACCCUGGACAAGUUAUUUCAGCUAAUUUUUUUUCUUUUUUUUUUUUAGGGCCGCACCCACAGCAUAUGGAGGUUCUCAGGCUAGGGGUCGAGUCAGAGCUAUAACCUUUGGCCUACACCACAGCCACAGCAAUGCCAGAUCCAAGCCACAUCACAGCUCACAGCAACUCCGGAUCCUUAACCCACUGAGCUAGGGAUCCUUUUUUUUUUUUUUUUUAUUUUCCCACUGUACAGCAAGGGGGUCAGGUUAUCCUUACCUGUAUACAUUACAAUUACCGUUUUUCCCCCACCCUUUCUUCUGUUGCAACGUGAGUAUCUAGACAUAGUUCUCAAUCAUUUUUAAAAAGCAAAUACCACUGCAAAUUAAAAACAGAUUCAACUGUGAUCAUCAAAGAAUAGCAAACACUCAGAGAUCUACUCUACAGCUAAUUCAAUAUAGACAUCUCCUUUUCGAAUUUGUUUCUUUUUUUUCAUAAUCACAAUUUUAUUCUACCUUAACUUUCGUGCUUCUUUACUUGUGUUUCCAGCCCUGGGUGGAAAUGAAAUAAAAGUGUGUUAAUGGUGCAGCAGUAAUAGAAUUUGAAGAUCUCUUCUCUGAGAUAUUGUAGUUUUUGCAACCCUUAAUGGCAUUGUCCUUGACUGGAGAUGCACAAGGAAAUUCAUUUCCUGCCAGCUUCUCUGAGACUAAUGGGCCUUCCAAGUGCAGAGUUUUCACUGACGUAUGAGGACUGAGUGUAGAAGAGAGGGCUCAGCUCUGCUGGCAGAAUUCCUGGGAGAAAAGAAACCUUGAAAGAUGCACCGCAAUAAACCCUUUGUUCUGGGAAAAGAGAAAAAUCAAGCUCUAUCAUAAUUUUUCUUAAUCUUCCUCCAUAAUCCAACUUACGGAUUAUGUUUAGGUGAAGGCAAGGGAAGACUGUCUCAGAAAGUAAUUGUGAAAAGGUCUGAAAUUAAAAUAUAUAUAAAUGCUUAUGUGAAACAAUCAGGGACAGUACUCCACUCUCUGGGACUUUGAGAAAAAUGCUAAAUCUAGUGAUAGAAUCUGAGACUGUCUCUC